UGGCUCAGUAGGUAGAGCAACUGACUUGUAAUCAGUAGGUCACCAGUUCGAUUCCGGU
rnacentral:tRNA from 1 species